AGGGAUCGGUGAAUUUUAACUUUGGAGUCCUCUAUGCUAAGGAUGCUCAGCCUGCAGAUGAUGAAAUGUUCAGUAAUGUAUUUGCUGCAGCUCUGCUUACCCAAGCUUUGGGUUCCUUCUGUCCCACAGGGAGUUGCCCUGUUUGGUUGCAUCUGGUGAAAUUCACCCUGAGACCUUACAGAAGUAGCUCAAACUACGUGAGAGCCAUUUGCAGUUCCCUCCACACACCUGGAGAAUGGGUGACGUUUCUGAGGAUGUGGCAACUGUACUUCUAUCAAAACUCAGUCUGUGAAAUUUCUGGGGAAAACUCUUCGGUGACCUGAAGGGUUCAAACUCUGGGAAAGACUCUCGUAUCCUUGUCUUCAGGCUCGGUGCUGUCCACGAAGAUACGGAGACUAAAAAAAUCAUAAGAAGCAAAAUAUGACUGCAGGGAAAACAAGCUGGAGAGAACAAAAGACUCAUCACGGCGGGACAGCGUGAAGACUGAAAGUGUGAGAAGAUGUGGAGGGGAAGAGAGAAUCUGACGGGAGCAGCGAACGCACGAGUGCACGAAUUUUGCUUUUUGCUUGGAUGUAAACUCAGGAGUUGAAAGGAAUUUGGGAGUGAGAAGGGACAUUUCAGAAGGAGAAGAAGAAAAAGAGGUUGUUGUUGUUGUUACAGUCCUGGCAAAAUCUUUUG